AGAGUUUGAUCCUGGCUCAGCCUGAACGCUGGCGGCGUGGCUAAGACAUGCAAGUCGAACGGUGUAGCAAUACACAGUGGCGAACGGGUGAGUAAUGUAUCGCUAACGUGCCCCGGACUCUGGGAUAGCUACUCGAAAGGGUAGGUAAUACCAGAUGAUAUGACUGGAUCGCAUGAUCCGGUCCUCAAAGGUCCGCUGGU
rnacentral:rRNA from 1 species